rnacentral:lncRNA from 10 species
CUGUAGAUUCAUUUUUAAUAUACAAAAGAGAAGACCUCAAUGAAAUUGUUCUCUAAUAUGUUCUUUGGGUUUCUCCCAAUCCCUCGCCUAUCACGAAAGAUCAUGGUGAAAACAUCUGAGAAAAACUACUAUAUAUUAUCCCCUUUUGUCUUCUGGAGAGCUCUAUGAUGUAAUUGUGUUCAUGCCAAUUUACAGAGUGAUCCCUGGGCCAGCAGCAUCAGCAUCAUCUGAAAACUUGUGAGAAAUGCAAAUUCUCAGGCCCCACUCCAGAUCUAUUGAACCUAAAACUCUGGGGAUGAAGCUAAGAAAUCCAGAUGCCAACAUUUGAGAAUCACUUAUCUGGAAAGAUUCUACUUGCACAUUGUCUAUACACUCUCACCUCACUUGAAAGAAACAAAAACUGCAAACUAUAGACCAUUAAUUUAAAAUAGCCACACAGAGGAAAUGAAC